rnacentral:tRNA from 1 species
AUUUGUUUAAUAUAAAAAGUAUAUAAAGCUUCCAACUUUAUUGUUCCUAAAGGAAUCAAAUA